GGCCUGGGGCACGACUCUGCCGCCAGCCCUUCCUCACAUGUCGGGUCUCCCGGGCUGGGGGGCGGGAGAGGGGGCGCCCGGCGGAUGCAGGAGGUGAGGAACUCGGGUUCGGGGAGAGCGACGGGAGGAGCGAGGAAGAGCAGCGCCGCUGCACAGCCGCGGAGGGAGGAGGCUGGUCCCCUCAACAAUCGCCAAGAAUCCUCCGACCUAGCAAAGAAUGUCCUGCCAAAGAGUCACCCAGUUUCUCCAAGUGUCUCAUGUUCUCUCAGAAUGGCAUUAGAGGGAACAGAAGUGCAUCUUGACCCGUGUGUCUGUAUUCUGUGGAAAGCGAGAAGUCAGAGCACCAGGACCGUACGGGAGCUAGGGAGAAGGCCAAUGAAUCCACGCCCGGCUGAGUCCUUUAUGUUCACGUCUUAAUCAAACUCUACAGUUUAGUUUGGUCUGGAUUGGGUAAACAUCAUUUGAAGUCAUUUGCUCUGCAGAAGUUUGAGAAAUGUGACAACUGAGUUGUGUGGUUCAUCCUUUCACAGAAGCCACAGAUGCUGUUUUUCAAAAUAAAAAUAAAAUGGAAGGU
rnacentral:lncRNA from 1 species